ACGGGAGGCAGCAGUGGGGGAUAUUGCACAAUGGGGGAAACCCUGAUGCAGCGAUGCCGCGUGAGGGAAGAAGGUCUUCGGAUUGUAAACCUUUGUCUUUGGGGACGAUGAUGACGGUAUCCAGAGAGGAAGCUCCGGCUAACUACGUGCCAGCAGCCGCGGUAAUACGUAGGGAGCGAGCGUUGUCCGGAAUUACUGGGUGUAAAGGGAGCGUAGGCGGAUUUGUAAGUUGAAUGUGAAAUUUAUGGGCUUAACCCAUAAACUGCGUUCAAAACUGUGGAUCUUGAGUGAAGUAGAGGCAGAUGGAAUUCCUAGUGUAGCGGUGGAAUGCGUAGAUAUUAGGAGGAACGCCGGUGGCGAAAGCGGUCUGCUGGGCUUUAACUGACGCUGAGGCUCGAAAGCAUGGGGAGCAAACAGGAUUAGAUACCCUGGUA
rnacentral:rRNA from 1 species